CCAGACUCCAAGCGGCCCCUGAGCGCCCGCGCCCUUUAGUGACGUCAAGCGGCGCGACUCCCGCCCUGCCUCGCGCGGCGCCGUAUCUGGGGCGCGUCCCUGAAAGCCGGCGGGCUGAGACUCAGGCGCCGGCUGCGAGGUUUACCCUGCCUGCCGCCUUCCGCCUUUGUUUACUAGGUGGGGCGCUUCAAAACUGGUCACGUUUCUAAUUCCCUGUCACUCGGGGACGCCAGGGACUGCCAGGUGGACUCCAAGGCCUGAUUUUCCCUGUCUUCACAGAGAAGAGCGAUGUUGCCUCCCAGUGCGGCCCCGGAUCCUGGCAGGGCUAGCCGGUGCCUCUGGACUAGGCCUUGGUGUUCGUCGUCCCUUCCCUCCCUGACUGUGUGCUCUAGCUCCGUAGUCGGUGACUUCUUCCUGCUUGAUUGCUGAACUGCAAGUGGCCACGUUACAAAAGGAAGAACUAAGUGUUUGCGAAAGCUGAUGCCCCAGAAGGCACAGGUUACCUGUUGGUGGACAUUGAGGUUGCCUCCAGUUUGGGCUCUUACAAAUAAAACUAUGUGAAAGGCUCUGUGUGGACAUGUGCGUUCACUUUUCUUGGCUCCAUAUGGCAUUAACAGGAAAUUCCUUGGCAGUCCAGUGGUUAGAACUUGGCACUUUCACUGUCAUGGCCCUGGUUCAAUCCUCGGUGGAGAAAUAAGAUUCCACAAGCCACGAAGAGUAGCCAAAAACAAAAAGCGAACAGUUUCUUGGCUCCUCCCUUACUUCUUCAGAACAGUCCCCUCGGAGCUAUCUGAGAGGCUGUAUGCCAGUCUUAAGUCCUCAAUGAGAAAACAGAGGCACAGAGAAGCUACUUUCCUGUGAUCCCAUAAUUAGUAAACACAGAGUUGGGAAUCAAAUCCUGGGCAGUGUGGCUUCAGAGCCUGGACUCUUAAAUAC
ensembl:lncRNA